rnacentral:rRNA from 1 species
UACGGGGGGGGCAAGCGUUGUUCGGAAUUACUGGGCGUAAAGGGCUCGUAGGCGGCCAACUAAAGUCGGAUGUGAAAUCCCCAGGCUCAACUUGGGAACUGCAUCCGAUACUGGAUGGCUUGAAUUCGGGAGAGGGAUGCAGAAUUCCAGGUGUAGCGGUGAAAUGCGUAGAUAUGCGGAGGAACACCGAUGGCGAAGGCAAUCCCCUGGACCUGUACUGACGCUCAUGCACGAAAGCGUGGGGAGCAAACAGG